UUGUGUUGACAUAAGGCAAAUGUCUGAGGACAGGAGAAAAAACAUUGUCUAUCAGAAAGCCCGGAGGCCAGCAGAUCAUUUUACUUCAGCACUGACGCGUGCACGUCCAAGGUCAUAUUGUGGACAUGGCGUAGAGUACUACCACUGUGAUGUAUGCAGUUAGAAAGGGAAUCAUCACGGUGAGAUGGAAUCGUUCUUGGAAGCAAACAUUUGGUUACAGACUAGGAAAUUCAAAAUCCGGUUUUUGCUUAGAACUUAUUUAACCAUUUAUACAGAAUUUUACAUAUAGCUUUCGAAGUAACGGAAGUUUUGGAUAUUAUAUCUGUAAAAAGAUGCUGUAUAUCGAAUGCAUGGUGAAAAAAUGAAAUAACUUUUAACUGUUCUAGCAACUGUUUUGACGUAGUCUUAAUUAAUGAAUCAUAUUAUUUUAAGGAAAUAAUCACGUAGUUAGUGUGAAUGUGUUAAGAUUCAACUGUUGAUACUUAAAUAUACGUUGAUCUUUUUUCUUUUGUUAUUUAGAGGUACAUUUGUAAUAUCAUACUUCUCUUGUAUCUGUAAAGAGGCAUUUUUUUCACAAGAAAAAGAAAUUCGCUUUUCAUAUAUUGGAAUGGUGACGAGGUUUAUAGUGAUUAUGUAGUUUUGUAAUUAUAACAUAACAAUAAAUAUUCAUUCAUUUAAUCCCUUAAUAUUGCUGUUAUUGUAUUGGAAGUAUUCUUUAGUCCAUGUUUUUACUGGAAGAAUUUAGUCAUUUACAUAUUAGAAAUCCGUUUCCAGUUUAUAGUAAUAUGUAGCUGUGCCAUCAUAUAUCAAAUGUUUCAUUAUAAUAUUUAAAGCAAUCUAUUUCUCCUUUUCUGCAAAAGCUAUUUCACAAGAAGAAUGUGGUAUUCAUAUAUCAAAAGUGUCAACAUUGCGAUGUAUGCUUUCUGAAUUUAUUGUAGUAAUAGCUUUUAAUUAAACUGAUGCACUGGUUAUGUAUCACAGUACCAUAUGACGUUAAAUCAAAAAAAUGUAUCACAGUAAGUAAUUCUAAGACAAGUACAUGAAAAAAUAAUUUCCUUAGUUGUACUUAUCGCUUAACUAUAUUCCAAAUUAAAGGUGAUAAUUAUUAUAAGAGAGGAAGAACUACUGUCAAUCUAGACCUUUUCUCUCAUUUCGGUCCUGUCUCUUCAAGGAUGAUAAUGCCAUUGUAUGGUUCUCGGACAUAGCACCUUAAUUUAUGAACGACUUAUCGAAAUAUUUCCGAGGAAACUAAUUAAAAAAUAUGGCAAGAAAAGUUACAAAAGUGAGAUCUCUAAUAGAAGAAAGUAAAAAGGCAGUUGCAAAUAACAUGAGCGGAGUGAAAAUAAGGCAUGAACUUGCACCAGAAGAAAUUAGUGAUAAAAUAUGAAAAAAAGAUUCUUUGAAAGCAUAGAACACAACUUAGCAACAUGAAAGCAGGCUCCGUUUGAAUGAAUCUGUUCAUCUGAGAUCCCCUAUCACCGGCUUAAGCCGAUAUUUUUUAAGGUAAUAUGAAUGUACUUCAUGAUCCAAAAAGACCAGAAAGUAUAACAACACCGAGUCACCAGAGCCACCACACGUACAUAAAAACUGCUACUUUAAUGUAUAUCUUAAACUAAUUAAAAUUGUACUCAUAAUAUCUAAUGUUUUUAUGGACCCAGUAGUGGCAUAAUCAUAGCUCAUAAAUCGGUCAAAAUAUCAUGGACUCAAUAUACUAAGUUUAAAAUGUACUGAAUGAAUGUCAUUCACAUUAGUUGUGUUAACUUCUUUGAAUAUCAUUCUCAAUAUACUUAGAAAAAUUAAGAAGGUUUUACAGCUUGCUAUAAAAAUGAAGUGUAACUGCUAAUUACUUCACUGUAAAACGUUUUGCUUGCUAAACCCUUUUUAACACCUGACAUAUUAAAUGAGAAGCACUAAGGUAGAAUUCAUAGAUCUGAAUCAUUCUCUCAAACAGGUAACAAUUUUGGAAGAAAAUGACCCUGUGGUACUGCCAAAUAAUAAAUUCGUUCAGGGCUGUAGAUUUUUCUUUUUUCAUUUAGCAGGGAAAAUUAGCACUGCACCCUAGGGAUUAUGUACUUGGGCGAAUAAAUGUACAUGUAGUUCGAAUCGUAUUCUUGAAGGGUUGCCAAAUGAAUAUCUCUGUUUCUUGUAUUUGUUUGUUACUGUUG
rnacentral:lncRNA from 1 species